rfam:Picea glauca, whole genome shotgun sequence.
UACAACAUAUCAUUAAUGCACCAUAUCCCAACAGAACUCCACAGCUAAGCACACUCGGGCUAGAGUAGUACUGGGAUGGGUCACAACCUAAGAAGUCCUAGUGUUUUAC